CUGUAACAAGAAGAACUCUGACUGGCAGCAUCCAUCAUUCUUGCCCAAAUUUUCAUUUCAUUUGUCAUUAAGAGAAAUCAACACUAUUUCUACCAAUGAUCAUAAUUUUUUUUCCUUUAUUUUCCUUAGGGGGAGAGAGAUCCUUAUUACUACUCUGAAUGCAACACGUUGUCUCAAAACCAUCUAUAGAGCUGCAGGCCCAGAGAUGUUCCCCUACCACAGAGGUUUACUUGUGUCAUUCAUAAGCUACCAUAAUCAGGGAUGUACAGCAGCAAGACAGACAUCACUGUCUUGUCUUCCUAAGCCAAAUUCAAGACCUCUUGCAAGAGCUCCACUGUGGACACAGAACACAUUCAAGGAAAGGAAAAACAUUUUAUACCUUUAUGGGUGGUCAUAGCUUGGGGUAGGCUAACAGAGAGUACAUCUGCAAGGCACCAGAUCACCCAACACCACAGAGUACUGGGAGGAAUGAAGAAAUAACUGUUUAGAUGUGAUUUGGAAGAGACUAUCAAAAGGAAAGGUAACAGCAAGAAUAAAAUCCUCAUGCUCUGUGAUAAAGGUUGCUAG
rnacentral:lncRNA from 1 species